rnacentral:tRNA from 5 species
GUGAGUAAACAAAUAAUUAAAAGGGGAAGCUCUCGUUCCCGCCUUAAAUUGUUUACUC